rnacentral:rRNA from 1 species
AUUGAACGCUGGCGGCAGGCCUAACACAUGCAAGUCGAACGGUAACAGGAAACAGCUUGCUGUUUCGCUGACGGGUGGCGGACGGGUGAGUAAUGUCUGGGAAACUGCCUGAUGGAGGGGGAUAACUACUGGAAACGGUAGCUAAUACCGCAUAACGUCGCAAGACCAAAGAGGGGGACCUUCGGGCCUCUUGCCAUCGGAUGCGCCCAGAUGGGAUUAGCUAGGAGGUGGGGUAACGGCUCACCUAGGCGACGAUCCCUCGCUGGUCUGAGAGGAUGACCAGCCACACUGGAACUGAGACACGGUCCAGACUCCUACGGGAGGCAGCAGUGGGGAAUAUUGCACAAUGGGCGCAAGCCUGAUGCAGCCAUGCCGCGUGUAUGAAGAAGGCCUUCGGGUUGUAAAGUACUUUCAGCGGGGAGGAAGGGAGUAAAGUUAAUACCUUUGCUCAUUGACGUUACCCGCAGAAGAAGCACCGGCUAACUCCGUGCCAGCCGCCGCCGUAA